GACGAACGCUGGCGGCGUGCUUAACACAUGCAAGUCGAGCGGUAAGGCCCCUUCGGGGGUACACGAGCGGCGAGCGGGUGAGUAACACGUGAGCAAUCUGCCCUUCACACGGGGACAACCACCGGAAACGGUGGCUAAUACCCGAUACGACCACUUCAGGCAUCUGAUGGUGGUGGAAAGUUCCGGCGGUGGAGGAUGAGCUCGCGGCCUAUCAGCUUGUUGGUGGGGUAAUGGCCUACCAAGGCAACGACGGGUAGCCGGCCUGAGAGGGUGACCGGCCACACUGGGACUGAGACACGGCCCAGACUCCUACGGGAGGCAGCAGUGGGGAAUAUUGGACAAUGGGCGAAAGCCUGAUCCAGCAACGCCGCGUGAGGGAUGACGGCCUUCGGGUUGUAAACCUCUUUCAGCAGGGACGAAGCGCAAGUGACGGUACCUGCAGAAGAAGCACCGGCCAACUACGUGCCAGCCGCCGCAGUAACAC
rnacentral:rRNA from 1 species